UAGAUUGAAGCCAGUAGUAGGGUAUUUAGCUGUUAACUAAAAUUUCGUGGGUUUAAUUCUCACCAAUCUAG
rnacentral:tRNA from 1 species